UUUCGUCUCAGAAUUCAGCGCUCGAAAAAAAAAGCUUCGUAAUAAGGUGUCCAGGGUUGGAGUUCUCGGGUGGGCGGUGGAGGUGAUAUUAAGAGUUACAGCUACUUUCUACGAAUUAAACUGGUGGCUAAAGCGUAUUGGGGCCCUUUAAUGUAGAGGAGAGAAGCGUGGGUGGGAGCCGUUUUAAAGGGGAGAGGCAAUCAUUGGUGGCAUCUACCAGCAGACUGUGAGAGUAGAAGAGAAGGUUUGGGGACUGGAGAAAAAUCUUCAAAUCCCGGGAAAUGGCUAGUAAAUUCAGAAGAUAAGAUUUUAGGGACAGUCUUAAAGGUCGUCAUCUGCUUGGACUUCGCGGAGGUGGAUGGGAGGAUGCGCUUCGACCGUGUGUGUGCAUUUAAAAUCCUCUACGCCUCCUGAUCUGUGCUUAAGAAAACUCAUUAAUUCUUUGCGACUUCAGGUUAAGAGGAGAAUUUGCCCUGCGCCUCUACCUGCUAAAUACCCACCGAGAAGGGGGCCCCAGGAGACGACCCCUUUCUGAAAGAACGUCAUUUGAUCAAUUCAACUGAGUUAAUAACUUGCCUCCCGGAAGGGUUCAGAAUGCCUUCCCCUCCCACCUGCGCAGCGGUGCGGUGCGGAGGUUGCUCGCUCUCCUUGAAGGCCCAGGAAACCCUGUCUGACUGUGCUUUGCCGGCCCAGAAGAACCUUGCGAUUAACUUUCUGGUAUUUCCUAGAACCCCCUCGCCUGCUUUCAAGCACAGAGGUCGCUAGAGAUUUAGGCUACCCCAAGUUCGAGGAAAAGAAAAGCGGGAAACAGAGACACAUCCCCCCCUCCACGUCGGUGCCCUCGGCCUCCUCCCAUACGGACUUCCGAUUUGCCAACCUCUUAGCAGGGCACUCCCCACGUCCGCAAACCUUCAGUGUUCUGCGCUUGAAGGCCUUUUUCCAUUCCACCUUUCCAAUGGAAGAAGUGGAAAAACUGAACUGGAUCUUCACCCACGGCCCUAAUUACUGCUAGACUUAAGGAAAAAAAGUCAAUGUCCCACAGACCUUUUUCCAUCCCGGGUCGGCGAGCGCAGCUACCAGAGAGGCCCCUGGGUUCCUUAGGUAAAUCUGUUUGCAACCCACGUUUGGGACCAGAAUACCAGAUGGCCUGCCUUGUGUCUCCCAUUGGUGGGUCCGGGUGGGGACGGUGAAGUAAAGGUGAAUUGCGGUGCAGAUUACUAACAGAGCAGGGGGUCUCUGUCUGCCACCUGGGGGCUGCCUGCUGGGAGACCCUCCAACUUCAUAGACACGAAGAGUGGAAAAGAACACGCCAGCCCCGGCGGCCGGCUCGGAGAUUAAACCCUGUUGGAAGGUAUGGAUGGUGUAUUUCUUCCGAUUCUGAGAUGUUGAUUUAGCUGUCCCAAACAUCACAUGAUGUGCUUCUCCAUAAUCCUGUACCCAAGUCAUUGCAGAUCUGCUGACAUGACUUUGGAUAUGCUGAGCCAGGGCAAAUAGAUUCUUUUGAAUUAUGCCAGUAGUGAAGAAGAAACAUGAGUACAGCUCUCAAAGUGGAAGAAAAGGUUUCUUUUCACUACUUCCCAAGUGAUGCUGAUGUCUGUUUCCUUGACAACAAGGAGUAUCAAUCUUUCUUUUCCCCAGUGGUCUCGUAUUUUUAAAUGUACCAUCUUUUCUAGUUAAAACUGUGGAUGGACAUGUACAGCAGCCCUGGCUUGAGGAUGAUAUGAUUACCAAGAGCUCAGCUCCCACAGGAGAGAAGAUCUGGAUUGUACCAAGC